rnacentral:rRNA from 1 species
GAUGAACGCUAGCGGCAGGCUUAAUACAUGCAAGUCAAGGGGGUAGCAAUACAACCGGCGCACGGGUGAGUAACGCGUACACAACAUACCAUAUACUGGAGUAUAGCUUUGGGAAACUGAAGGUAAUCCUCCAUAACAUUGCGACGAGGGCAUCUGAUUGCAAUUAAAGUUCCGACGGUAUAUGAUUGGUGUGCGUUUGAUUAGCUAGUUGGUAGGGUAACGGCCUACCAAGGCGACGAUCAAUAGCUGGCGUGAGAGCGCGACCAGCCACACUGGAACUGAGACACGGUCCAGACUCCUACGGGAGGCAGCAGUAGGGAAUAUUGGACAAUGGCGAAAGCCUGAUCCAGCCAUGCCGCGUGAUAGAUGAAGGCCCUCUGGGUUGUAAAUAUCUUUUAUCUGGGAAGAAACUCCUCUAUUCUUAGAGGCCUGACGGUACCAGAGGAAUAAGCACCGGCUAAACUCUGUGCCAGCAGCCGCGGUAAU